AGAGCACAGGACUUGCUGUCCUGAGCCUUCCUGAGGCUUCUCUCUUGAAGGUGCCUUCCAGGCACGAAAGCAGGACUUGCUGACUCGGAGUUUUCUGAGGCAUCUCUCCUGCAAGUAGCUAUAGAUCCAGCCACUGACAUGGAGCAGAGAGCCCCAAGAGUGCCCAAGCUGGCCGGGGUGGAGGGAGAGGAAGAAGGCCCUGGAGCUGCCCCUGCACACGAGACUGUGACACGGCACCAGAGUGCGAGGCACAGCUCCGGGUGCUCCCCGUGAACCUCAGCUCUGGGACCACUGUCUGCCCCAAGCUUCAGGGGCUGCAGGGGGAGCCCGGCUGGGCUCUGCCCUGGGGCCAUCCUGCAGGGACAGCUGCACACAGGGAGCAUUCCCUGCCACAAAGAGCCAAGCCAGGGCUGCAGGGCAGCUGCUCCAGCCCCGACUGCACUGCUGAGUGCUGUGCUCUGGGGCUGGGGCUCCCCGCACAGGGGACUGCACUGCUGUGCCAGAGGAGACAGAGAAGCUGCAGCUUCAGCCUAACUGAGAUGUACACUCUGCAAACUUGAGCUGUGCUGCUGAAAUGCUCAAGCAAGUCUGUGCUGCAGGGCACCCCAUUUCUCCUUUGGCUGAUUGCGGCCCGGUGCUGAGCUCCAGCAGGGCCCUGGCAGAGCCCAGAGCAGCCUCAGCACCCGCAGAGCCCGGCUGCAAGGAGAGAAACCAGAAAGCCCCGUCAGCUGAAGGCUCCUGUCCCCUUGUCCCAGCCGCCCGCGGUGCCCCGCACUUCCUGAUCCAGACUGGACCCCACCUGGAACGCUUCCUCUACAAAAACUAACAACAAAUUAUUGAAAACAGAUUACAGACAAAUAGGGCAACAAGAAAAAAGGUAAAAAAUCUGAUCUCUGUCAGAGGCUUGAGGAAGGCCCAACCCCUGCAUGCCAGGGAAAAACCCACCAUGGGUGAGGGAAGCCCAGGCUUUCUCCCUUCCCCCUGCACUGCCCCCAUGGUGAUCCCAAAGCAAACAAGGGCAGUGGAGCAGCCCAAGCCCUUCCCUGCCUGCAAAGCAAAGCAGCCCCUGCACAGGCUCUGCAGUCCCACCUCUGCUCCCACCGUGGGGAUUUGUUUGUGUUGGGCUGGCUGCCCCAGCCCAGCCCCAGCCCGGGGCAUGGUGGGUGCUGGGGGCUGUUGGCAGGGCCAGGAGCCCACUCCCAUUUUGUAUCCACCCCAGCCCAUGCCCCCAGCCCUGCCAAAAGCAGCCUGGCAGCCGACUGAAGGAUCAGCUGCAUCUGCCCCAGCAAAGGGGGAACCUUUGGUUCCCAGCCAGGCUGAGCAAUGCCCAAAUCUGGGAGCAUCCCCUGUGUGUGGACUCAUCUGCAAAUUCCCUGUGAAGCCUGGAUUUGGAGAAGGUGCCAGAAUCAAACUCCAUCAUCUUCAGCCUGCCGGAGACCAGGAGGAGCAAGAGGUUGUCAUCCUUGAUGUCGUCCUCGCUGCCCCCUGCAGCAGCAGCCCCACCUGGUACAGCUUCUCCAAGGACUCCUUCUCCUUCCCUGGGGGUCAGACCAGGCUGUCAGGGCUCUGCCCAGGGCCCCAGCUGUCAGGGAACCAGGACAAGCAAAACCAGCUCGGAUGGCAGCCACCAGUGCUGGGCAGAGCAGCUCAGCUCCAGCACAAGGGCUGCGUGUGCCCUCCCAUGACCCCUGUGCAGUGACACAGGCAGGACCAAAUGUCUGGGUUCCUUUGCUUCUCAUUGCCAAGGCAUGUGUGGAGCUGGAACUUACCAGGGCCCUGCAUCCACGUGUGCCUGUGGCUCUCUCCCUUCUUCUAGGGCAGAUGAAUAUUCUGCAUCCAGGGAUCACAGAGCAGCUCUUCUAAGGAGGGCCUGUCCAAGUGCAGCAUGGAUAAACACCGCCUGAUCAGAUCUUGGCACUCUGGGCAGAGAAACCAGAAACCACCGGUCAGUUGGAGAAGGCUCCUGUUGGCUUUGCCCCGCUAUUCCCAUGUCCAGGCCAUGCUGGAUGUGCUCAGAGCUGUGCCUAAACUUUCCAUCAGUUCCCUAUUUUGGAGGAGAGCAGGAGAGCAGGACAUGUGGCACCUCCUCAGCGGCUGCCAGAGCGAGAUGCUCACGAGCUGCUGCUGUCUCCCGGCACUGGUAUUCCCCCGUGGCCAGAGAUGAGGAUCCACCUGGAGAGAGCCGCUGUGGCAGCAAGAGCUGAUGGUCUCAGCUGAUCUUCCGGCCCCUCCUGAAAGGGUGCUGCCCGCAGACCAUCUGGUGCAGCAGGAUGCCCAGGGACCAGAUGGUAGCUGGCUUGCCAUAGUACCAGCCCAAGUGGGUCCAUUCCAGGAGCUGUAUGACCAUGUUCCUAUGGAAUACAGGUGGGGUUCAUCAGGGGGAUGCUGCUGCUCCCAGAGCCUGGCCCCAGCAUCCCUGGGCGUGCAGGGGCUGCCCCAGUGGCACACGGGGCGACUGCUGCACUCUCGCCAGCACCUGGGACAUGUGUACAGACUCAGGGCUGGAAAAGAAGCCACUGGUGUUGGAAGAGGGCAGCAGAAACCCUGGCAAGGCCUGACCAUGAUGUGCAAAGGGAAAACCCACCCAGUCCUGGGGAAAAACCAUGCUCUCAUUCUCCCUGCCAGCAUUGCCCCAAGAAGCAUUAUGAAGCCAAGGUGUAAGACACUGUCUGAAGACCCUCACUCAUUUGCCUGCCAAUGGCCAUGAGAGGGAACCCCCCCCCCCACUGUAGUUCCAGCUUGGAGGAGGCAACAGUGCAGGUGCAGCCGCUGCACAUCGCGGCAGCUGUUCCCAACGAGGCCUGGCAAGGACUUGGCAAGGACUUGGCUGGGACUUGGUGACGACCCAGCAUGGACCCAGCACAGAGCGGCCUGCUGCAAUUCCUGCUUCACUCUCCACUUUCAAGCUGAAUGAACUGUUGGGCUGACCCUGGUGGUCUCUCACUGCAGACCCCUCAUCUGCCUCAUUACCACCGUGACAGAGAUUGAGAACCCUCUCCCCAAGGACUGAGGCUGAGACCCCGACCACAGGGAGUGGGGGGGAGAAUGACAUGAUCUGUUCUGCUCCAGUAACUUCAAUGGACUUAUUCUUCAUUGUGUUCAUCCUGCCCAGAUGGUUUUCAGUAGAUUCACCUGUUCCCCCCACAGCAAUUUCAACAGACUCUCAUUGUUCUGCAUGUUCCCCCCUUUUCCCUCUGUGGACUAUAACUGGACCCCUGGGCUGGGCAGGACUUUGGAGACUCUCCCCAGCACCUGCGGAGCAGCCCCCGCGCCUCCUCCUCGGACAGGAACCCCCUUGCCCGAAUAAAAUGGUGCAGGUCCUGAGACCACUCUGGGCACUCCAGCACCAUCAAGAUGUUACUGUGGAGCUCCCGUCUCUCCAGCAUCUGGACAACACCAGGGAAGUGUCCCUCUGUGUUUGGGGCAGCUCCUUCUCCAAGGAAAGCAGGUGGGAGAUGGAGCCAAGGAGCUGAAACCCGCAGGUGCAGCCUGGGCUGGAGGGAGCUCAGAUUUGCACAAGGCUGCUCUGAGUGCCAGGGCUUGGAUGGGGGAAAUGGUGGGGUGGGGGUAGGGACAGAGUCUGAUGGAUUGUCAGCCACAAAGGGUCUUGAUUUUCAUAUCUAUUCCAACUGCAUGAGGAAGCACUUGGAUUCAGUGUCAAUUGGAGAUUUCACACAUCAGUUUAUUAGGAGUAAAAAAAACUAAACAGGACCUGAAGAAAUCUUUUCUCACUGUCCUUUUAAAU
rnacentral:lncRNA from 1 species